UUUUUUUUAAACAGCCAAUAUUAUUAACAUAAGCCGGCGUAAGACACACCGAGCAAGGUAAAAAGAAGCACAAUUACAAGGUGCCGAAUAUAUGGGAAACACAAAAGCUAAACACCAUUCCGUAUAUAUGUGGAACCUAAACCCAAAAGAAAUAAAACCACCAAAAACUACUAAGAAAUUAAUAUAAGGAUAUUAUUAUACAUUCCAUUCCAUCAAAAUGAAGCUUAUGAGCUAAAGAAGAAUAAGAACAUUGAAGAUGAAAUCAACGCAAGAGUUAACUUUCAUGUAUAUAUGCUCCAAUGAGAUAUUUCAAUUUAGAAGAUGGUUAAGAUGACGAAUAUCGAGUAAGAAUGACUGAAGAGUCAAGAUGUGAGAUGAAGUGUAUCGAACAAACUAAAGAACAGCUCGAGAAUUACAUUCCACAAAAAGAGAAGUAAUACCCUUGUUAUGAGUGAGUAUAAUAAACCCAUGUAAAGACCCCAAAACUCAAUAGAAAUAACAGUAGAGGUUUCAACAUUACAUUGGAAUCCUAUGAUGAAAUUGUCAAACGAAUCUCAAAUUAAACCACGACAAGCUGAGGAGCGAGUAAUAAUGGUAUUAUGAUAGCCAUCACUAUUUAAUUUAUGGUGACA
rnacentral:lncRNA from 1 species